rnacentral:lncRNA from 1 species
UGACUUUGCGAUCUGCCCGCCUCAGCCUCCCAAAGUGCUAGGAUCUCAGGCAUGAGCCCACUGCGCCCGGCCUAUUGCUGCCUUACUAAUACACCCUCUUCCACCAUUCUCAUGUCAGGGGACAUACAGUGGUCAGAGGAUUGAUGCAUGAGUUUCCAUCAGAUCCUAAAACCCAUGAAAUCAACAGAGCAUUUCUUUGGGAACCAGCUUUGAUGACUGUCCAUGUCUUACAGAGGUAAGUACUAGAAUUUUAUAUCAGCACAAUAUAGUUAUUUAAAGCAAUUUACACA